CCCGUCUGAAGCGGGCCGCCGGCUUCCUGAGCGUCGCAGCGGCUCGGGCCCCAGUUUCUGCUUCCCAACUGCCAAGAGGCGCAGGGGCCACCUGCGUGUGUGACGCGGCCCCCGAAGGCCCCGGCUGCACAGACUCACACACUCGCGAAUGAAGAACUGGUUUUGCCUCGACGGAAGCACACCGCGUCGAUCCGUGCACCUCGUGUGGCCCAUCCUUUUUUUUUUUUACUGCAUCUGACGUCUUCAGAGAUGCGGCGAAGGAAGCGACGAACACAACGUGCGGCGGUGAAGAAAGUGUCUGAGUUGAAUUAUCGCUGCCUCGUGAACUUCUCGCCUGCCCCCAAGUCCUACAAGAGAGGCGUCAACAAGAUGAAUGACCUGUCAGUGUGGGAGUGAGGUGCAUUCCAGAGCUCAAGGCAUUCUUAAUACUCACCAGAUUUCUUAGGAAGAUUGUUACAGAAUGAUGACAUAAUUCAGACACAGGGACAACGUCUCCAUGUAGUAAUUCACGUUGUGUAAAUUCCUUUUCAAACUGGCCUUCGUUAGAUUGUCGACCUCUGACCUGAGUCACUACUUAUUGAUCAUGUCAACCAAAUCAGAGAUAAAUGGUGAAGUGAAAUUAGAUAUUUAGUUUGGCAUUUUAAAUAAGGUAUCGAUUAGAGAUUAGAGAUCAGAGAUCAGAGAUCAGGGAUCAGGGAGAUCACUUUUGACGAAUGCAAAGCACCAAAGAAACUUUGGAUUGAAAGCUGGAAGGAGCUAAAAUGACGUGGAUCACUUCUCUGUUUGGUUAAAGUAAGACUCAAGGAGUUGAAUAACUAAACACAAGUCACAGCUCAGGCUGACGGCUUGACCUUUUGAUCUUAUGAUGGUGCGAGUCCAUAAAUAAUCAUCAAGCUGAUGACACAUUUAACUCAAAACCCCAAAUGUAGAGGAGAUAUCAUGAAGUCGUAACCGCGUCAGUAGUUCAGAUGCAGCCCAAAUUAGUUCAUUGGUCCAUUUAUCCCAAACCUCAUGAUGGCUACAUAGUUCAAACCCAACGCAACAACGUCGGUAAUUACCGAGAGCGUUUUCAUACUCGAACAUUUGGAAAUGUUAUGUUCAAAUGUCUCAGGCAGCUGAUUUAAAAAAAAACAACAACAACAUCUGAACCUUUAAUUAAGAAGUAGGAAAACCGGAAAAAUAUGAUUUGAGUUGAGCAAGGGGACAGAGAUGAUGAUGAUAUGAGGGAGAAUAAAUGAACGCAUGGAUCAUUUGUUUGAGGUAAUUGCCAGUAAGCCUCGGCCAUUCAGCGGAAAACAGCACUUUGAAAUGAAAUAGAAACCUUUGGAAAGGAGCCAUUUUUCAAGUAUACCAGCAAUCACUCUCAUCUGGAAACAUUCUCAUUUUUUUAGCUGCAUACCUUGC
ensembl:lncRNA